GCCCUCUGGACGCUCUCUGUCCUUUGUUUAGUCAGACAGCCCAGCACACUGGGAGAAUGUUCCACCAGCCAAUCUAACCAGUUCUGAGUGCAGUCAUGUCUACCUCAUUUCUUCUUCUGCAAUGCCCACUAUGGUGUUUGGUACAGGACAGACUCUCCCAAUAUUUGAGCUGUGAGUUUCCUGAGAUACAGAAGGCCGGCAUUUGAGAGAUGGUAAAUGCUGGUGGAGUCAGAGGGACCAGCUAGGCAGAGAGGUCUGCUCUCUGCAAGUUACGCGGAUCAAAGAUGAGUGCAGAAGGUAACAGGUUGGCUGCGUCCGGGGUGCAAAUGAGUUCUUCCAGGCACUGCUUCCUCCCGUUCAUCUUCCAGUUGCCCCCAACGAAGAACUUCCUGGAAGGCGCCAUUGUACUAAUCUCAAGUCUCUGAAGCAUAGCCUGGGCAAGCCGAGAACACGGGACUGAGGAACUGUGGUGACAGACGGUGGAUUCUUCACACAUGAACUGGUUUAAUCCCAAACUUGGGGGAACUCCAGAAGUGGACGCCAAGAAACACAAUGAAAGGCGAGUAUUCAAGCUCUAAACGUGACCAACAGAGGGGCGUGGAACAUCAGAACCCGACUUAGAAACCCAACACCCACUCUUAUGUGGGUUCCAGGCUUAGCAAGCUCUUUUACCCAAUUAGCCAUCAUACCUGCCCAUUAUAUUUUUCAAAAUCUGUAUUACUUUAUUUAAAAAU
rnacentral:lncRNA from 1 species